AACGAACGCUGGCGGCAGGCUUAACACAUGUAAGUCGAACGCGUGUAGCAAUACACGAGUGGCGCACGGGUGAGUAACGCGUGGAUAUCUGCCUUUUGGUUCGGAAUAACUCCGGGAAACUGGAGCUAAUACCGGAUGGUUCCUUCGGGAUGAAGAUUUAUCGCCAAAAGAUGAGUCCGCGUACGAUUAGCUAGUUGGUGAGGUAAUGGCUCACCAAGGCGACGAUCGUUAGCUGGUCUGAGAGGACGAUCAGCCACACUGGGACUGAGACACGGCCCAGACUCCUACGGGAGGCAGCAGUGGGGAAUAUUGGACAAUGGGGGCAACCCUGAUCCAGCCAUGCCGCGUGAGUGAUGAAGGCCUUCGGGUUGUAAAGCUCUUUUGGCGGGGACGAUGAUGACGGUACCCGCAGAAUAAGCCCCGGCUAACUUCGUGCCAGCAGCCGCCGUAACAC
rnacentral:rRNA from 1 species